AUCUUGGUUUUCCGGCCAUCUUUGCCUACCCAGCAUGCCUUUCUUUCCGGGUCAGAUUGUAGCCCAAGCAAUGGUCUUCUCUGCCUGGCUGUCUGAGCAGCAAUAGUGAGCCACCUGGGAAAAGAUUUUUUUAGCCUGUUGCUGCCGCCCUGUGGACAGUUUUGGCCUUGCAGAAAAAAAGCCAAGUGUUCUAGAAGGGGUGGGAAUAAGACCAGCACAUGAUCAAUCAGGAGGCUGGUGGCCAUGGAAUGGCUUCUCUGCGAACCCAACCUUCCUUCCACCGCAGUGGGCUUCUCUUCCUUAAGGACCAGGAGCGUCCCUCGGCCCCGAGGCAGCCUCAGCCUGGUCUUUGUGAAAGUAUAGCCUCUGGAUCCAGGGGCUCGACUGGGGCGGGAGAAGGCAGGGGAGCCGCUAUGGAAGGAGAAAGUGAGGGCUGAAGACCUGCAUCCUGGGUUCCAGAGCCAGGGUGCCUUCUGAGAAUGCCCGGUCCUGCGUGCUCGACUUCUCUCUGCUGUUGAAGUCUUCCAGAGACUCCCCUUGGGUCGCAGAAUCUGCAGAAGUAAAGGACUCACGCUGGAUGGUGGGCUGCAGGCCACCAGCUGCCAGGAGCCUAGAAAGGAACACACGACGUGAAGCCUGAAGUCCCUGAAGGCCAAGGGGCAGCUUCCCUGCCAGGAGAGCAGCACCGUCCCCUCCCUACAUACACCAUUGUGGCAAGACGGCAAAGGAAGCAGGGAUGGCCCAGCUGUAAGCCCAGCCCAGACUUCUCUGGGCUCAGUGUUGUCUCCCUCACCGUGUCCCACUGUGGUUGUGGGGGUGGUCUGGGAGGUAGAAGAGUCUCCUAUGCAGUCCAGCUCACUCUCAACUCAGACCUGCAUCAGGCUGUGGUUGCCAGGGUGAACACCCGGCCACGCCGCUCCUUUAAGGGUAAAGGUUGGGUGCCCGAGCCCAGCUCCAGCAGGGUUCGGGUCCCAGAGAGGAGGUGUGGAGUCAGUGACGGAAGGAGACUGGCAGUCUGAGGGUGAGUCAGGAUGGCUGCCCACAUAUUGGAAAUAGGCUACACCUUACUCUGUAAUUGCGCCAUAGUUUAACCACAGGCAGUAUUGGAAGCAGGCGUAACGGUUCUGAGGUGACAGUGGACAUCGACAUCAUCACAGCAUUUUUCUCAAAGCAAAAAGCAGUAAGUGCCCCUUGCCCUCUGAGGUUCAGUAGCCCUGCCAGGCGCCUCUUACACUUCCUCCUGCGCGGCUCGGCCCUUGUGGUCAGGAGGUGUCAGAUGUUGAAUCCUGAGAAACAAACCCCAAAGAGCAGUUUUCAUUCCUCAAGGGGCACGAUGCAGUGUUUGUCCCGUGUAGCACGGGCGUCGCAUUCCUUUGUGCCUUAGCCUCGUCAUGCAGGCCUGCUCUCCUCAAAAGCUCCCAGAAGGGAAGGUCCUGACACCUUGCUCUUUCCCAAACCAUUCUGGUUUCUUCAGCAUGUGCUCCUGUACCUGGCAGAGGGGAUCAAGCCAGUCUAACUUCUUAACAGAAUCUGCUCCCCCUGGGGCAGAUCAGAUCUCCCCGUUCAUCCAGCAAGCCACCAGGCCCGGGCAGUGGUCUAUACUCAUUAGCUGACUCUUGCCCUUCAUGGCCUCAGCUCUGAAUCUGGCCCCAUUGUUUCUCUUGUGUGUUUUUCAUUCCUGGAACCAGGCAAGUCCAGUUAGUAAAUCUUUAACUUUUCUAGUCUCGGUCUAAUCACAGGAGCACAGUGGGGAAUCCUGUGUGUGGAGUAGGCAGAGUCACCACGUCAUAUGGUUCCAUGGUGACGGCGACUUUUUUUUAAGAAUUAUUUUGUUUAAAGAGACUGCCAUUGUAUAUGUACCAACACCCACAAAAAUUCCCAAAGGAAGCGAGAUAAGGAACUCUCAUAACACAUAAAAAUGGAAGUUAAAUGAUGGUGGAGAGUCGUGAGUCGCAAUGUUGAAACGCUGGGAUUUUGUUAAACGGCAGUGGUCGCCGUGCGGUCCACACCAGUCGAGAAUUGACAAGGCCUCCUAGACGAUGCACAGCACAAUGUGUGCAGGGUCCCCAGGAACUAGAGAUGGUUGUGAAUGCAACUACAAUUUUCCAUGUGGAACAUCACCCCCUUUAAAAAAAUAAAAAUCUAUAGAUUGACCUUU